rnacentral:SRP_RNA from 1 species
UGGCGACUGAGGGAUGGCUCAGGCUGGCAACAGAGCAGGCAAGACUCAGCCCGGUAUGCAGAUGGGAGA